CCUACGGGAGGCAGCAGUAGGGAAUCUUCGGCAAUGGACGAAAGUCUGACCGAGCAACGCCGCGUGAGUGAAGAAGGUUUUCGGAUCGUAAAACUCUGUUGGUAGAGAAGAACGUUGGUGAGAGUGGAAAGCUCAUCAAGUGACGGUAACUACCCAGAAAGGGACGGCUAGCUACGUACCAGCAGCCGCGGUAAUACGUAGGUCCCGAGCGUUGUCCGGAUUUAUUGGGCGUAAAGCGAGCGCAGGUGGUUUAUUAAGUCUGGUGUAAAAGGCAGUGGCUCAACCAUUGUAUGCAUUGGAAACUGGUAGACUUGAGUGCAGGAGAGGAGAGUGGAAUUCCAUGUGUAGCGGUGAAAUGCGUAGAUAUAUGGAGGAACACCGGUGGCGAAAGCGGCUCUCUGGCCUGUGACUGACACUGAGGCUCGAAAGCGUGGGGAGCAAACAGGAUUAGAUACCCUAGUAGUC
rnacentral:rRNA from 1 species